GUGGGCCAGCCAUGAGAGGGUACCUUGUGGCCAUAUUCCUGAGUGCUGUCUUUCUCUAUUAUGUGCUGCAUUGUAUAUUAUGGGGAACAAACGCCUACUGGGUGCCACCUGUGGAAAUGAAGCGGAGAAAUAAGAUUCAGCCUUGUUUAUCGAAGCCAGCUUUUGCCUCUCUCCUGAGGUUUCAUCAGUUUCACCCUUUUCUGUGUGCAGCUGAUUUUAAAAAGAUUGCUUCCUUGUAUGGUGGCGAUAAGUUUGAUUUGCCCUAUGGGAUAAGAACAUCAGCGGAAUAUUUUCGACUUGCUCUUUCAAAACUGCAGAGUUGUGAUCUCUUUGAUGAAUCUGACAACAGUGUGCCAUGUAAAAAGUGCGUGGUGGUUGGUAAUGGAGGAGUUUUGAAGAAUAAGACAUUAGGAGAAAAAAUUGACUCCUAUGAUGUAAUAAUAAGAAUGAAUAAUGGUCCUGUUUUAGGACAUGAAGAGGAAGUUGGGAGAAGGACAACCUUCCGACUUUUUUAUCCAGAAUCUGUUUUUUCAGAUCCCAAUCACAAUGAUCCUAAUACUACGGCGAUUCUCACUGCUUUUAAGCCGCUUGAUUUAAAGUGGCUGUGGGAAUUGUUGACAGGUGGCAAAAUAAACACUAAUGGUUUUUGGAAGAAACCAGCCUUGAACUUAAUCUACAGACCUUAUCAAAUCAGAGUAUUAGAUCCUUUCAUUAUCAGAAUGGCAGCUUAUGAACUGCUUCACUUCCCAAAAGUGUUUCCCAAAAAUCAGAAACCCAAGCACCCAACAACAGGAAUUAUUGCCAUCACAUUGGCUUUUCACAUAUGUCAUGAAGUUCACCUUGCUGGAUUUAAAUAUAACUUUUCUGACCUCAAGAGUCCUUUGCACUAUUAUGGGAAUGCCACCAUGUCUUUGAUGAGUAAGAAUGCAUAUCACAAUGUGACAGCGGAGCAGCUCUUUUUGAAGGACAUUAUAGAAAAAAACUUUGUAAUCAACUUGACUGAAGAUUGACCCUACAGACUCAGAAGACGAUGCUAACAGUAUUAGUUUUAUUUUUAUACUGCUAUUUUUAGUUUAUUUUUAAAUAUGUUGGAUGCACUUGUCAAGAAAUUAUGUACAUAAAAGUCUGUUGUCGCCUGGUGAGUCAUAACCACCAGCUUAAUUUCUGUGAAUAUAUUUAAUUUAUAAAAACCAGGAUAUGUUUAGUUAUCAGGGAAAUAAGUUUUGAAUGCAUUGUUUUUAAAACAACCUAGUUUUCUGAAGUGUUUUUAAACAUCUUUUUAUAGUUACUUCAUGUUAGACUUUUGAAGGGAUGUGACUUCUUAGUAGGGGAUUUAGUUUACCACAACAAAUUUUGAACACAUUUUGAGAGGUGUACUUGUCUACUGUAAAUUGGUGGGGAAUGGAGAUGUGGUUGUGCCUUGAUAUGGCAAAAUGGAACCAUUUUAGGCAUGUAUCUAAAUGGUUGAUUAGUUCCUUUUUGUUGUCCCCGAGGAGACCAAUUUUAAACUUAAAAGCAGCCCUGAACACAACAGUGGGUUAUGGUCAAGGAAAUCUAAGACCAUACUGGUUUCAUUAAGCUUUUAACUAAACCAGGAUUAUUAAUGAGUAAUUUCAUAGAAGGAAGGUGGUGUUUUUGUUUUUAAGGUGAAGGAAAUAGGCUAAACAUGAAAUUCUGGAUAAGUAAAUAGCCUAAGAAUACAAUUACUAAAGUCUGGUGACUGCAUUAUUUUUAAGUUUAUACAAAGAAGCUCCAGGAGACCAUUGUUAAACAUCAUUUUCUGCCUUGUUUAAUAUAUUAAAAUUUGAAAGUUUACUAUUUGAAUUAAAUUAGGAAAAAUGAAGAUGACACAGUAAGUUAAACCCUUAAGAAGAUUCAAGCUGUCUUUGGAUUUAAAUGGUAUUUUCAUGAAAAAUCUCAACUGUCCACGAUUAAAUCACAUCUUCAAAGGGAAGGCUUAUCUGGAUACCUAGGGUGCAUCAGAAGAAUCCCACUGGAUGCAAACAAGUCAAAAACCAGUCCAGCGGAGGUGACAGCCUUCUUAACACCAUGAGUCCAGGGCCACCUGCUUCUUCAACUUCCUCCCAUGGCAUACGCUGUGUGGUCAGUACUAUCGCUGACCGUUUCUGCAUCGUUAUCUUCUCCAUCCUGUAAACUCUGGGGCUCACCACUCGACUCCCAGCGGUCAAUACUUAGCACACGGCAAGAGCUCAAAUAUUUGCUUAACGAACAAAUGAAGUCAUUCUCUUGCUCCACCAAACCUGUCCCUUCUGUCCUCUCCACUCAUGACAUCCCUACUGGUCCAAGCGCACAAGCCUGAAACCUUGGAUCAUCCCGAGUCCCUCCUCCUUCCGUAGCAGCCAGUCGCGCAUCAUCUGAUAAUCUCACCUAUGUGCUUCACCCUCCUCGAUGACAUCCUCAUCCACAGACUGAGACCUGAAUUUGUCUCCCCGAAGCUCCUGUCCCCAAUCCAGGCCCAGGCCGCACCUCCACAGUUCCUCCUCGGUGCUCUCCCGUGCCAAGCCUGCACGUGAGGACUGGCUAUCCCGCCUGGACUCCACAACUCUGUGCCUUCGCUCAAGCACACAGUCUGGGCUGUUCCCUACCUUCCUCCAUCUGGGCACAUCCAGCGGUCUCUUUACGGCAAAACAAACUUGAGGCUCACUCUUCCCCACAGGGAAGACUUCAGGUAGCUCUCACAGUUCUCACACCUGUGUCUCUGGCCCUUCAUAAUAACCCCUCAAGGCAUGUGCCAGUUCUUUAUUCUGUGAGUUAGCCCUGCCUAACACCCAGGACACAGGAACGGUGUCUCUUUCUUUCAGGAGAUAUUACUAAGCACCUACUGUGUGUCAGGCUGUUCUUACUCAUGUGUAUAUUCCAGCAUGUAAAGCAGAUUUUGCUAUAAUAAAGAUGCGCAGUAAAUGACUGUGCAAUUGAACAUA